GUGAGGUAACGGCUCACCAAGGCGACGACGGGUAGCUGGUCUGAGAGGACGAUCAGCCACACUGGAACUGAGACACGGUCCAGACUCCUACGGGAGGCAGCAGGAGGGAAUAUUGCGCAAUGGGCGAAAGCCUGACGCAGCAACGCCGCGUGAGGGAUGACUGCCUUCGGGUUGUAAACCUCUUUCAGUGGGGACGAAAUUGACGGUACCCACAGAAGAAGCACCGGCCAACUACGUGCCAGCAGCCGCGGUAAUACGUAGGGUGCAAGCAUUGUCCGGAUUUAUUGGGCGUAAAGAGCUCGUAGGCGGCUUAACAAGUCGGCCGUGAAAUACCGAGGCUCAACCUCGGGGAGUCGGUCGAAACUGUUAUAGCUAGAGUACGGUAGAGGAGAGUGGAAUUCUCGGUGUAGCGGUGGAAUGCGCAGAUAUCGAGAGGAACACCAGUAGCGAAGGCGGCUCUCUGGGCCGUUACUGACGCUGAGGAGCGAAAGCGUGGGUAGCAAACAGGAUUAGAUACCCUGGUAGUCCACGCCGUAAACGGUGGGCACUAGGUGUGGGGACUUUCAACGGUCUCUGCGCCGAAGCUAACGCAUUAAGUG
rnacentral:rRNA from 1 species